AGCAGCCGCGGUAAUUCCAGCUCCAAUAGCGUAUAUUAAAGUUGUUGCAGUUAAAAAGCUCGUAGUUGAAUUUCGGGAUCGAUAUGCCGGUCAUGCCUUGGUAUGCACUGGUAUCUUUGAUUUCUCCCUUCUGACGAACUUUGAUGUCAUUAAUUUGGUGUCAUAGGGAAUCAGGACUGUUACUUUGAAAAAUUAGAGUGUUUAAAGCAAGCUCACGCUUGAAUACAUUAGCAUGGAAUAAUGAAAUAGGACGUUUGAUUCUAUUUUGUGGUUUCUAGGAUCGACGUAAUGAUUAAUAGGGAUAGUUGGGGGCAUUAGUAUUCAAUUGUCAGAGGUGAAAUUCUUGGAUUUAUUGAAGACUAACUACUGCGAAAGCAUUUGCCAAGGAUGUUUUCAUUAAUCAAGAACGAAAG
rnacentral:rRNA from 1 species